UAACCCGGUGGAUUAGCAUAUCAAUAAGCGGAGGAAAAGAAACCAACAGGGAUUGCCCCAGUAACGGCGAGUGAAGCGGCAACAGCUCAAAUUUGAAAUCUGGCUCUCGGGCCCGAGUUGUAAUUUGUAGAGGAUGCUUUUGGUGAGGUGCCUUCCGAGUUCCCUGGAACGGGACGCCAUAGAGGGUGAGAGCCCCGUCUGGUUGGACACCGAUCCUCUGUAAAGCUCCUUCGACGAGUCGAGUAGUUUGGGAAUGCUGCUCUAAAUGGGAGGUAUAUGUCUUCUAAAGCUAAAUACCGGCCAGAGACCGAUAGCGCACAAGUAGAGUGAUCGAAAGAUGAAAAGAACUUUGAAAAGAGAGUUAAACAGUACGUGAAAUUGUUGAAAGGGAAGCGCUUGUGACCAGACUUGGGCUUGGUUGAUCAUCCGGGGUUCUCCCCGGUGCACUCUUCCGGCCCAGGCCAGCAUCAGUUCGCCCUGGGGGACAAAGGCUUCGGGAAUGUGGCUCUCUCCGGGGAGUGUUAUAGCCCGUUGCGUAAUACCCUGUGGCGGACUGAGGUUCGCGCAUUCGCAAGGAUGCUGGCGUAAUGGUCAUCAGUGACCCGUCUUGAAACACGGACCAAGGAGUCGUCUUCGUAUGCGAGUGUUCGGGUGUCAAACCCCUACGCGAAAUGAAAGUGAACGCAGGUGAGAGCUUCGGCGCAUCAUCGACCGAUCCUGAUGUUAUCGGAUGGAUUUGAGUAAGAGCAUACGGGGCCGGACCCGAAAGAAGGUGAACUAUGCCUGUGUAGGGUGAAGCCAGAGGAAACUCUGGUGGAGGCUCGCAGCGGUUCUGACGUGCAAAUCGAUCGUCAAACAUGGGCAUGGGGCGAAAGACUAAUCGAACCUUCUAGUAGCUGGGUUUCCGCCCGAAGUCCCCCCUUCAAGGAAA
rnacentral:rRNA from 1 species